rnacentral:rRNA from 1 species
GAGGAUAAGCUCGAAAAUUGCCGUUGAGAACUGUAUAAUUAAAAAUUAUUAUGUGGGCCUAAAAUUAGCCAUCACAAAAGUUUGUUAUAAAAUAGUAAAAACACAUGAAAAUAUUUCUAUACACGAUACCACGCUAAGCUAUAAGAAUAAUAAUUUAAACCAAUAAAUUAAUAUACCUAUGCUAGGAUGAGUAUUAAAAUUGCUAUAAGAAAAAUUAAAGAUUUUCUUAGAAAUUGUUUCUAAUGCUAAUUAAAGACAAGGAACUCGGCAAAUGUUGUUCCGCCUGUUUAUCAAAAACAUGGCUCUUUGAAAAAAGCAUAUAAAGAGUCGAACCUGCCCAGUGAAGUUUUAAACGGCCGCGGUACCCUGACCGUGCAAAGGUAGCAUAAUCACUUGCCUUAUAAUUGAAGGCUGGCAUGAAUGGUCUGACGAGAGCUACACUGUCUCCUCUUUAUUAUCUAGAAAUUAACCUAUAGGUGAAGAGGCCUAUAUUAUAUUGAAGGACAAGAAGACCCUGUCGAGCUUAAAAGUAAAGUAAGAAUUAGCUAUAGAAGGAAAUCAAUAAAUUACAUAACUUUUUAGUUGGGGCGACUAAGGAACAAAUAAAGCUUCUUUUAUUUUUAUAGAUUAACAGAUCUUGAUCCAGCUAACGCUGAUUAGAGGAAUUAGUUACCGCAGGGAUAACAGCAUAAUCUCCUUUAAGAGACCUAAUCGAAAGGGGGGGGUUGUGACCUCGAUGUUGGACUAGAAUAUCCUGAAGAUGCA